rnacentral:rRNA from 1 species
AUUGAACGCUGGCGGAAUGCUUUACACAUGCAAGUCGAACGGCAGCACGGACUUCGGUCUGGUGGCGAGUGGCGAACGGGUGAGUAAUGUAUCGGAACGUGCCCAGUCGUGGGGGAUAACGUAGUGAAAAUUACGCUAAUACCGCAUACGAUCUAUGGAUGAAAGCGGGGGAUCGCAAGACCUCGCGCGAUUGGAGCGGCCGAUAUCAGAUUAGGUAGUUGGUGGGGUAAAGGACCACCAAGCCAACGAUCUGUAGCUGGUCUGAGAGGACGACAAGCCACACUGGAAGUGAGACACUGUCCAGACUCCGACGGGAGGCAGCAGUGGGGAAUUUUGGACAAUGGGCGAAAGCCUGAUCCAGCCAUUCCGCGUGCAGGAUGAAGGCCCUCGGGUUGUAAACUGCUUUUGUACAGAACGAAAGGGUUUCUACUAAUACUAGGAGCUCAUGACGGUACUGUAAGAAUAAGCACCGGCUAACUACGUGCCAGCCGCCGCAGUAA